rnacentral:tRNA from 1 species
GCGCCUGUGGCUCAAUUGGAUAGCGCAUCGGUCUUCGGAACCGAGGGUUGGGGGUUCGAAUCCCUUCAGGCGUG